GGAAAAACAAGACAUAAGAUUAAGGAGAUCAUGGCUGCCAUUGAUCGGAAUCCCAUCAUUGGCUCGUUGAGAGUUUGCCACCUGCAAGCACUUGUUGUGUACUUGAAGGCCCUGAGAAACUCAAAGGAAUACCUGAGCUGCCAGGACUGGUGUCAUCACUGAAAGCAGUCAUAAACAACAUGGCAGAUUCAUCUAUUUCCUCCAGCCAAAGCGACUCACCACGCACUAGCAGUGAGACUUGCAGUGAGG